GUGAGGAAUAUUGGUCAAUGGGCGGGAGCCUGAACCAGCCAAGUCGCGUGAAGGAAGAAGGAUCUAUGGUUCGUAAACUUCUUUUGCAGGGGAAUAAAGUGCAGGACGUGUCCUGUUUUGUAUGUACCCUGAGAAUAAGGAUCGGCUAACUCCGUGCCAGCAGUCGCGGUAAUACGGAGGAUCCGAGCGUUAUCCGGAUUUAUUGGGUUUAAAGGGUGCGUAGGUGGUUUGAUAAGUCAGCGGUGAAAGUUUGCAGCUUAACUGUAAAAAUGCCGUUGAAACUGUCGGACUUGAGUGUAAAUGAGGUAGGCGGAAUGCGUGGUGUAGCGGUGAAAUGCAUAGAUAUCACGCAGAACUCCGAUUGCGAAGGCAGCUUACUAAGCUACAACUGACACUGAAGCACGAAAGCGUGGGGAUCAAACAGGAUUAGAUACCCCGGUAGUCC
rnacentral:rRNA from 1 species